rnacentral:snoRNA from 1 species
AUGUGACAUCCCACGUGAUAGCAAGCUGCAGCCCCGAACCCAUUGCCUGGCCUGGCCCUUGGGCUGUGGGCAGUGAUGCAGGUUGCAUAGUU